rnacentral:tRNA from 1 species
UUGUAGCUCAGUAGGAUAGAGCAAUUGCCUCCUAAGCAAUAGGUCGAAGGUUCGAACCCUUUCA